GACAGAAUAUGAAAAAAAAAAUUUGGAAAAAUCAUUCCACCUGCAAAACUCACUUGUAAAAUUAUGAGUAAUCAUAUAUCAUUAAAUAAAAAGAUAUAUAUAUAUAUAUAUAUUAUUACCCAAUUAAUAAUAGUAUCGCCUUGUUUAUCCAUAGGUCUUCUUCCAGUGAUUAAUUCCAUAGGUCUUCUUCCAGUGAUUAAUUCUAAAAGUACAACACCAAAAGAAUAGACAUCUGACUUUUCUGAAACUCUUUGGAUAUCACCAUAUUCUGGAUCAGCAUACCUGUAAUAAAAAACUUAAUUGAUAUCUUUUAAAAUCUUCAUUAAAUAACCCCUUAAAUAAAAGUGAUGUUAUCUAUACUAUCAUUUUAUUUUAUAUUUUAAAUUAUUAAAGCUAAAAUAUCCAUGAAAUAACACUCAACCACUUAACUAAUGAGAAAAAAAUAUGCAUC
rnacentral:lncRNA from 1 species